AAGAUCUUGAUUUUAAAAUCAAAUUGACUGGUCUUGAUCCUGUUUGUCAUGUGACUACUGAUGACAAUGGUUUCAAAUGGCUGGUUUGUCAAGGUACCAUCGACUUCGAAUCCCGACAGCGCCCACAGUACUAUUUUGUUCACCUGACUAAUUGCCGAUCCAACCGGAAAGGGUUAAGGAAUGUCUCGUUUUCUUUGCACAUGACAAAUGGAAACAAUCGUCUAAAAGAAUUCGCUGAAAAUCAGAAAUUCAUGAUGGAGACUGACUUGGCCUUCUUUCUUGGAUACGUGGUGAUGACUAUUGUGGCUACUCGAUUCAGAU